ACACGACUACAUUAGAUACCCGCCGUAGUCCCAGCCCUAAACGAUGCGCGUUAGGUGUAUCGGUGACCACGAGUCACCGAGGUGCCGAAGGGAAACCGUGAAACGUGCCGCCUGGGAAGUACGGUCGCAAGGCUGAAACUUAAAGGAAUUGCGGGGAGCACCACAACGGGUGGAGCCUGCGGUUUAAUUGGACUCAACGCCGGGAAGCUCACCGGAUAAGACAGCUGAAUGAUAGUCGGGAUGAAGACUCUACUUGACUAGCUG
rnacentral:rRNA from 1 species